rnacentral:sRNA from 12 species
ACUGUGGAGUGUACAAGAACUUGUGAGUAGUAUGUCACUUGUGACUACAAAAGCAUACACAAUGAAGCAGUAA